AGUGAACGCUGGCGAUAGGCCUAACACAUGCAAGUCGAACGGCAGCACAGUAAGAGCUUGCUCUUACGGGUGGCGAGUGGCGGACGGGUGAGGAAUACAUCGGAAUCUACUUUUUCGUGGGGGAUAACGCAGGGAAACUUACGCUAAUACCGCAUACGACCUACGGGUGAAAGCAGGGGAUCUUCGGACCUUGCGCGAUUGAAUGAGCCGAUGUCGGAUUAGCUAGUUGGCGGGGUAAAGGCCCACCAAGGCGACGAUCCGUAGCUGGUCUGAGAGGAUGAUCAGCCACACUGGAACUGAGACGCGGUCCAGACUCCUACGGGAGGCAGCAGUGGGGAAUAUUGGACAAUGGGCGCAAGCCUGAUCCAGCCAUACCGCGUGGGUGAAGAAGGCCUUCGGGUUGUAAAGCCCUUUUGUUGGGAAAGAAAAGCAGCAGGUUAAUACCCCGCUGUUCUGACGGUACCCAAAGAAUAAGCACCGGCUAACUUCGUG
rnacentral:rRNA from 1 species